AACAGAUCUUCUUAACUACACAUACUCUAAAAUCCUCUUUAACUCAAUUUUUUACUUACUUUCACAAUUUUAUACUUGUUUCUAUUGAUUCAGAGAGUCUUUAGGUCACAGGAUCUCACAGCUGUCCUCCCUGCAGAGAAUUAUGCUCCCUAGAGAGGAACUGUCUCUACCUGUGGGGAUGGACAGCAGCAUCUAGCCUAGAGGAACCCUCUGAGGUUUGAUCAAUGAGAGACAUCAGCAGGAGAGAAGGGGACAGGAAAAGAAGGAGGUAGGGGUUUAUUCUUCUCCGGUCCACUGCAGAUUGGCGGUGUUCCUCCUCAUCGGCCACAGCUCUGGGGUUGGGUAGCUGCUCCCUCCUUGCCCUUUCAGGCCUAGGAUUGGUACCAGUUCCCUGCCCUUACUGACCCUAGGAUACUGAACUAUCCCUUUUUGUUUUCCCCAAACUCAGUCCACACCUUUGUAGAUGAGAUUCCUUAUUAAAUUCUUGUCAAAUUGUCCAGUCUGUGGGUGUCAUCUGCUUACUGUUGUACCUCAACUGAUAAAGGCAUGCAAUGUUUUACACCUGACAUGGUUUGGAUCUGUGUCCCCACCCAAAUCUCAUGUUGAAAUAUAAUCCCCAAUGCUGGAAGUGGACCGUGGUGGGAGGUGAUUGGAUCAUGGGGAAUGGUUUAGCACCAUCCCCUUGGUGCUGUCUUGUGACAGAGUUCUCACAAGGUCUAGUUGUUUAAAAGUGUGUAGCACCCUGCCCCCUUGGCCUUGCUCCUGCCAUGUAAGACACCUGCUCCCACUUUGCCUUCUGCUACGAGUACAAGCUCCCUGAGGCCUCCCCAGAAGCAGAUGCCACCAUGCUUCCUGUACAGCCUGUGGAACCGUGAGCCAAUUAAAACUCUUUUCUUUAUAAAUUAUGCAGUCUCAGGUAUUUCUUUACAGCACUGUGAGAAUG
rnacentral:lncRNA from 1 species